AAGGGCGUAACUUUGGUUCGACAUUGGGGAGGGGGGGUGGAGAUCUCCAACUAUCUCGGGAGGUCCUGGGACAUGUCUGCAUUUUAUUGAAAGUGAAGCAACAAAAACAUUG